rnacentral:rRNA from 1 species
UGCAUGUCUAAGUAUAAGCAAUUAUACCGCGAAACUGCGAAUGGCUCAUUAAAUCAGUUAUCGUUUAUUUGAUAGUACCUUACUACUUGGAUAACCGUGGUAAUUCUAGAGCUAAUACAUGCUGAAAACCCCGACUUCGGAAGGGAUGUAUUUAUUAGAUUAAAAACCAAUGCCCUUCGGGGCUCACUGGUGAUUCAUAAUAACUUCUCGAAUCGCACGGCCUUGCGCCGGCGAUGGUUCAUUCAAAUUUCUGCCCUAUCAACUUUCGACGGCUGGGUCUUGGCCAGCCAUGGUGACAACGGGUAACGGAGGGUUAGGGCUCGACCCCGGAGAAGGAGCCUGAGAAACGGCUACUACAUCCAAGGAAGGCAGCAGGCGCGCAAAUUACCCAAUCCCGACACGGGGAGGUAGUGACAAUAAAUACUGAUACAGGGCUCUUUUGGGUCUUGUAAUUGGAAUGAGUACAAUUUAAUUCCCUUAACGAGGAACAAUUGGAGGGCAAGUCUGGUGCCAGCAGCCGCGGUAAUUCCAGCUCCAAUAGCGUAUAUUAAAGUUGUUGCAGUUAAAAAGCUCGUAGUUGAACCUUGGGCCUGGCUGGCCGGUCCGCCUCACCGCGUGCACUGGUCCGGCCGGGUCUUUCCCUCUGGGGAGCCGCAUGCCCUUCACUGGGUGUGUCGGGGAACCAGGACUUUUACUUUGAAAAAAUUAGAGUGUUCAAAGCAGGCUUAUGCUCGGAUACAUUAGCAUGGAAUAAUAGAAUAGGACGUGCGGUUCUAUUUUGUUGGUUUCUAGGACCGCCGUAAUGAUUAAUAGGGACAGUCGGGGGCAUCAGUAUUCAAUUGUCAGAGGUGAAAUUCUUGGAUUUAUUGAAGACUAACUACUGCGAAAGCAUUUGCCAAGGAUGUUUUCAUUAAUCAGGAACGAAAGUUAGGGGAUCGAAGACGAUCAGAUACCGUCGUAGUCUUAACCAUAAACUAUGCCGACUAGGGAUCGGACGAUGUUAUUUUUUGACUCGUUCGGCACCUUACACGAAAGUACAAGUUUCUGGGUUCUGGGGGGAGUAUGGUCGCA